rnacentral:rRNA from 1 species
UACGGGGGGGGCAAGCGUUGUUCGGAAUUACUGGGCGUAAAGGGCUCGUAGGUGGCCAUGUAAGUCAGACGUGAAAUCCCCAGGCUUAACCUGGGAACUGCGUCUGAUACUGGAUGGCUUGAAUUCGGGAGAGGGAUGCAGAAUUCCAGGUGUAGCGGUGAAAUGCGUAGAUAUCUGGAGGAACACCGGUGGCGAAGGCGGCAUCCUGGACCAAUAUUGACGCUGAGGAGCGAAAGCCAGGGGAGCAAACGGG